rnacentral:rRNA from 1 species
AGCGAACGCUGGCGGCAGGCCUAACACAUGCAAGUCGAACGGAUCCUUCGGGGUUAGUGGCGGACGGGUGAGUAACACGUGGGAACGUGCCCUUUGGUUCGGAACAACUCAGGGAAACUUGAGCUAAUACCGGAUGUGCCCUUCGGGGGAAAGAUUUAUCGCCAUUGGAGCGGCCCGCGUCUGAUUAGCUAGUUGGUGAGGUAACGGCCCACCAAGGCGACGAUCAGUAGCUGGUCUGAGAGGAUGAUCAGCCACACUGGGACUGAGACACGGCCCAGACUCCUACGGGAGGCAGCAGUGGGGAAUCGUGCGCAAUGGGCGAAAGCCUGACGCCGCCAUGCCGCGUGAAUGAUGAAGGUCUUAGGAUUGUAAAAUUCUUUCAGCGGGGACGAUAAUGACGGUACCCGCAGAAGAAGCUCCGGCUAACUUCGUG